UCCACAAGGAAUGAUAUGUUUAUUUAAGGCAGUGAUACUCAGACCUCAGUGGCUAAGGAAUCAAAUUAGCAGUCAACAUUACCCAAAAUAGACACAGUAGUGUGAAUUCAUUGUUUCAUUCACUAUAGUACUAUAUAUUCACUCACACAGUGUUUUAAUAUCAUAUGCUGCAAAGAGCCGCAGGAGACCCAUUCAAAAGCGCUACUUGCAGCUCAAGAGCCUAAGUCUGAGUAUCACUGCAAUAAGGCAUUCUCCUAGUGAAUGCCACUUUUGCCCACAGAACA